CAAUAAGCGGAGGAAAAGAAACUAACAAGGAUUCCCCUAGUAACGGCGAGUGAAGCGGGAAGAGCUCAAAUUUGUAAUCUGGCGGCCUGUGGCCGUCCGAGUUGUAGUCUGGAGAAGCGUUUUCUGCGUCGGACCGUGUACAAGUCCCUUGGAACAGGGCGUCACAGAGGGUGAGAAUCCCGUCUUUGACACGGACUGCCGGUGCUUUGUGAUGCGCUCUCGAAGAGUCGAGUUGUUUGGGAAUGCAGCUCAAAACGGGUGGUAAAUUCCAUCUAAAGCUAAAUAUUGGCGAAAGACCGAUAGCGAACAAGUACCGUGAGGGAAAGAUGAAAAGCACUUUGGAAAGAGAGUUAAACAGUACGUGAAAUUGUUGAAAGGGAAACGUUUGAAGUCAGUCGCGUCUCUCGGGACUCAGCCUUGCCUUUCCGCUUGGUGUACUUCCUGGGAUGACGGGCCAGCAUCGAUUUUGACCGUCGGAGAAAGGCCUUGGGAACGUGGCACCUUCGGGUGUGUUAUAGCCCUUGGUCGCAUGCGACGGUUGGGAUCGAGGACCGCAGCACGCCGUUUAUCGGCCGGGGUUCGCCCACGUGUACCGUGCUUAGGAUGCUGGCGUAAUGGCUUUAAGCGACCCGUCUUGA
rnacentral:rRNA from 1 species